UCCUGGGGCAGCAAUACCGCCUGGGGGGUGGUUACUAGUGUCAGGUGCGGGGCAGGAGCGCGGGGCUGGUGCGGCCGGGAGCUCGGUCCCUGGGGAAGCCGUGGAAAUGUUGGCCAAGCCCCUGACGCUGUCUGCACCAGGGAAGGCCAUUCUCCAUGGGGAGCACGCUGUCGUGUAUGGCAAGGCAGCUUUGGCCGUGGCUCUGAACCUGAGAACGUUCCUUCAAAUUAAACCCAGUAAUAAUGGAAAGGUCUUAAUAUGCUUGCCUAAUAUCGGAACCAGUGCAAACUGGGAAACCUUCCAGCUCCGAACACUGCUAACACUAUUUUCAGAUGGCUUGGAUGAAUCUAAAUCCCCCAGUCCAGAACAAAUGGAUGCACUGAAAGAGUUUGCAGGAAUCACUACUGAACUUUCAGCCACUGAGAGCCUUGGUACCCUUGCAUUUCUCUAUCUGUACCUGUCUAUUUCAGCUAAAUAUGGACAGAUACCAAGUGUGGAGAUAGUGGCCUGGUCUGAGCUGCCCACAGGAACUGGGCUAGGCUCAAGUGCUGCCUAUUGUGUUUGUUUGGCAGCUGCCCUGUUGACUGCAUGCGGAGCCAUUGGCUGCCCAGUGGAGGCGGAGAAGUCCGUAGUCAGGUGGCCUGAGGAGGAGACAGAUUUAAUUAACAGAUGGGCCUUUCGGGGAGAGCAGGUCAUCCAUGGCAAACCUUCUGGUGUGGAUAACUCUGUAGCGACUUGGGGUGGAGUGCUCCGAUUUCAGUCAGGAAAAUUCACAUCAUUAAAGAGAGUGCCGUCUCUAAGGAUCUUAUUGACCAACACAAAAGUCUCUCGGAGCACCAAGAUCCUUGUGGCAAGCGUCAAAGACAAGAUUCUUAAGUUUCCUGCUAUAAUGAACCCAGUGCUUGCCUCGAUAGAUGCAAUUUCUCAUGAGUGUGAAAGUGUUCUAGAAGCAAUGGCUGUGAGUCCAUCACAGGAGUAUUACCCUGUGCUAGAGGAGCUCUUUGACGUAAAUCAGCAUCACUUAAAUGUGAUUGGAGCUGGCCAUUCCUCACUGGACAAUGUGUGCCGAGUGACCGCCACACAUGGGCUGCACAGUAAGCUGACUGGUGCUGGAGGAGGUGGCUGUGCAAUCACUUUGCUAAGACCAGACACAGACCCAUUGAUGGUGGAAGCAGCCAGACAAGAUCUCAGUGCCUGUGGAUUUGAAUGUUGGGAGACCAGUAUUGGGGUGCCUGGAAUAUGUCUUCAUUCGCUGUCAUCUUUGAAAGCAGAAGUUCUGCGUAUCUUUAAUUCGGUUUAAGAUGACAUGGGCUCUGACUGUACCCUACCUUUCUGCCCCUGCAAGUUCAGAGCUUCUUAACUCUUCACAAGAGUGGCCACCUGUGGUGCCAAAUACACUUCAGAGUUCAGCUCACGUUGCCAGUCUGAAAUAUUUUGCCCCCUUUUCCAUGGCUGUGAAAGUGUCGUCGUGAACUGAGAGACUGAACCGAAUUCAGACCUGGCGUAUCUAACGGGGCAGCUCCACUGAAGACAGUGGAAUUAUUGCUCUCACCUACCCAGCUUGGGGUAUCUUCUUCAUUUCGCCUUCACCUGCCUCUCGAGAGCAAUGUGAGGCUGGAGUAGUUCGUGUGCAGAGAGUACCGUGAGAGGUUCUGGUGAAAGGCACCACAGAAUGCAAAGCAUGAGACUGCUCCUGUAUUUCUACUAAUGGUGUUAGAGGCACUGCUGAGAUUAAAAUACAAAUAAAUAAACGACACUUACCUGUGUCACUAAUUGAAUCUCAGAUAAUUAAAGCCGAAGAAAACGAAAUUCUAA